rnacentral:rRNA from 1 species
AGUGAACGCUGGCGGUAGGCCUAACACAUGCAAGUCGAACGGCAGCUCAGUAAGAGCUUGCUCUUACGGGUGGCGAGUGGCGGACGGGUGAGGAAUACAUCGGAAUCUACUUUUUCGUGGGGGAUAACGUAGGGAAACUUACGCUAAUACCGCAUACGACCUACGGGUGAAAGCAGGGGAUCUUCGGACCUUGCGCGAUUGAAUGAGCCGAUGUCGGAUUAGCUAGUUGGCGGGGUAAAGGCCCACCAAGGCGACGAUCCGUAGCUGGUCUGAGAGGAUGAUCAGCCACAAUGGAACUGAGACACGGUCCAGACUCCUACGGGAGGCAGCAGUGGGGAAUAUUGGACAAUGGGCGCAAGCCUGAUCCAGCCAUACCGGGUGGGUGAAGAAGGCCUUCGGGUUGUAAAGCCCUUUUGUUGGGAAAGAAAAGCAGCAGGUUAAUACCCCGCUGUUCUGACGGUACCCAAAGAAUAAGCACCGGCUAACUUCGUG